GACAGAGGUGCCGAGCGUUAGGCGGAAUCACUGGGCUUAAAGCGUGUGUAGGCGGCCCGUUAAAUACCUUGUGAAAUCCCCCGGCUCAACCGGGGAACGGCUGGGUAUACUGGCGGUCUUGAGCCAUCCAGGGGCAGUCGGAACAGACGGUGGAGCGGUGAAAUGCGUAGAUAUCGUCAGGAAUGCCGGUGGUGAAGACGGGUGACUGGGCUGGUUCUGACACUGAGGCACGAAAGCGUGGGGAGCGAACGGG
rnacentral:rRNA from 1 species